CAGUCGCCACGGUAAUACAGAGGGUGCGAGCGUUAAUCGGAUUUACUGGGCGUAAAGCGUGCGUAGGCGGCUUUUUAAGUCGGAUGUGAAAUCCCUGAGCUUAACUUAGGAAUUGCAUUCGAUACUGGGAAGCUAGAGUAUGGGAGGGGAUGGUAGAAUUCCAGGUGUAGCGGUGAAAUGCGUAGAGAUCUGGAGGAAUACCGAUGGCGAAGGCAGCCAUCUGGCCUAAUACUGACGCUGAGGUACGAAAGCAUGGGGAGCAAACAGGAUUAGAUACCCCCGUAGUCCCUGUCUCUUAUAA
rnacentral:rRNA from 1 species